CCCAAAGCAGCUGUUUGGCUGUUUCCAUUGGGUGAUAAUGCCUAGCGCUUGCAUCUGGAUUUUUUGUUGUUGCUUCCUUUCCUUUCAGACUGCUGCUGCUGCACUCAUCUUAAAGUGACAAUUUGGUAGCACAUAACCCAUGACUAUCGGCAGCAAGUAUUCAGGACACUUACUACCGAUGUCUGAAAGAAACGGGUAUCAUGGAAGCUAUGGCACAGAACUGUCCCAGCAGUACUCUAGCUUCUUUCCUUCUGCCUUCUUUCCUUCCAGCAGGAUCAGUGUAGUUGUCAUGUUAAUCACCUUAUUAUCACUGGCAGUAACAAAACUGAAUUGAACCAUCAGUACAUGAACAUAGAAAAGACACAAAAUCAAUCAUACAAAAUCUCCCUGAAGCUCCAUUUAGUGUCCCUAGACCAGAAGUCAUGCUUUUGCUUGGGAAUUAUAUAUUUCAUAAGUUUCGUUUAUACGGAAGCAUCUCUGUACUACACACAUCCCAGAUCAGCAAUCAUCAUCUACUUCUGCAAGUCAAACGUUUGGGAAAUAAGUCUCUACGGUAUCGUGCCUUGGCAACAGUGGGAACUGCAAUUGCGGAAAAAGCUGAGUUGCUCCAGGUGCCGUUCUCCUUUCAGAACCCCUGCAUGCAAGAUAUCCUCAGAUAAUUUCCAACAGAAGUCACGAAAUCCUGAUUUUCCAAAUCAUUUGACUCAGAUCCUUCCACUCAAUUGAAAUGAGAUUCUCCCGUAAUCUUAAAUCGACCCUGGGCAAUUCCUUUGGAUUAGGAACACAGGCUUUGAUCCAGCAGUCCGGGGAUUAGUUUACACAUACAAAUAAUCCCAUUAAAAUCAGCCUUCUCUUGCCUAUUUGCAGGAAUGCUGCUGUGUGCAUAGGUUCGUUAUGAAGAGCAGAUUUGCUGUGUGCUGUGUGGGCCACUUUUAAUUAGGAGGUGAGGCCAUGGAUCAUAGCUGUAUGACCUUCCAGGGACAACGGACGAAAACGUUCCCUUUGCGUGAAGAUGUCUAAGAUCACCCAGAUUCCUGUGUAUUGCUCUCUCUAGAUCUGUCUGUGUCCGUGACAG
rnacentral:lncRNA from 1 species